rnacentral:lncRNA from 1 species
CGGCCGCGCGGGCAGCCCGGUGGGGCGGAGCGAGGCAGCCGGAGGGGCGGGCUCCCGGCGUCGUGGUCGCGCUCGCGUGCUCCGUUCCCUGCGGCUGCCCGGACCCUUGGCCAUGUCCUGGUACCGCGCGGCUUCGAAUGGGAAACAGCACAUCCUCGUUUUGGGGGAAGUCAGCCACUACUCCUGUGAACCAGAUCCAAGAAACAAUUUCUAAUAAUUGUGUGGUGAUUUUCUCAAAAUCAUCCUGCUCUUACUGUUCAAUGGCCAAGAAGAUUUUCCAUGACAUGAAUGUCAACUAUAAAGUCGUGGAGUUGGAUAUGGUGGAAUAUGG